rnacentral:rRNA from 1 species
GAUGAACGCUGGCGGCGUGCCUAAUACAUGCAAGUCGAGCGAACGGACGAGAAGCUUGCGUCUCUGAUGUUAGCGGCGGACGGGUGAGUAACACGUGGAUAACCUACCUAUAAGACUGGGAUCACUUCGGGAAACCGGAGCUAAUACCGGAUGAUAUUUUGAACCGUAUGGUUCAAUAGUGAAAGACGGUCUUGCUGUCACUUAUAGAUGCAUCCGCGCUGCAUUAGCUAGUUGGUAAGGUAACGGCUUACCAAGGCGACGAUGCAUAGCCGACCUGGGAGGGUGAUCGGCCACACUGGAGCGGGGCCGCGGUCCUGACGCCUAAGGGAGGCAGCAGUAGGGAAUCGUCCGCAGUGGGCGAAGGCCUGGCGGAGCAACGCCGCGUGAGUGAUGGAGGUGUUCGGAUCGUAAAACUCGGUUAUGAGGGAAGAACAGAUGUGUAAGGAGCUGUGCACAUCUUGACGGUAACGAAUCAGAAAGCAACGGCUAACUACGUG